rnacentral:rRNA from 1 species
AUUGAACGCUGGCGGCAGGCCUAACACAUGCAAGUCGAGCGGAUGAAGGGAGCUUGCUCCUGGAUUCAGCGGCGGACGGGUGAGUAAUGCCUAGGAAUCUGCCUGGUAGUGGUGUAUAACGUCCGGAGAAGGGUGCUAAUACCGCAUGCUUCCUGCUCGAGAUGGUUGGUGGUCGUCGGACCUCAUGCUAUGAUAGGAGUCUAGGUCGGAUUAGCUAGUUGGUGGGGUAAAUGCCUACCAAGGCGAGGAUUCGUAGCUGGUCGGAGAGGAUGAUAAGCCACACUGGAACUGGGACACGGUCCAGACUACUACGGGAGGCAGCAGUGGGGAAUGUUGGACAAUGGGCGAAAGCAUGAUCCAGCCAUGCCGAGUGUGAGAAGAAGGUCUUCGGAUUGUAAAGCACUUUAAGUUGGGAGGAAGCGCAGUAAGUUAAUACCUUGCUGUAUUGACGUUAACAACAGAAUAAGCACCGGCUAACUUCGUG